UCAUGUGACCAUUGUGUCAGUUAAAUAUAUUUUUUAUCUUAAUUCUAAAUUGUUUCAGCUUUGAGUGUUACUUCAUCAACUAGUAGUGAAGCUGCCGGGUGGAGUAUACUCUAUUUCUCAUCCAUUGGUGGAAUGGAUGCCGUGAUAUCCUUCAGAAGGAUACGCUGCGUUUACCUCCUAAAUUCGAUGACGUUUCUCACCAAGAAAGCGACUGGAACAGUUCUUUCGCAGAGGUUUCCACCAGACGCAGAAAACCUGAAAA